rnacentral:rRNA from 1 species
GACGAACGCUGGCGGCGUGCCUAAUACAUGCAAGUAGAACGCACAGUUUAUACCGUAGCUUGCUACACCAUAGACUGUGAGUUGCGAACGGGUGAGUAACGCGUAGGUAACCUGCCUGGUAGCGGGGGGUAACUAUUGGAAACGAUAGCUAAUACCGCAUAAUAUUGAUUAUUGCAUGAUAAUUGAUUGAAAGAUGCUAUUGCAUCACUACCAGAUGGACCUGCGUUGUAUUAGCUAGUAGGUGAGGUAACGGCUCACCUAGGCGACGAUACAUAGCCGACCUGAGAGGGUGAUCGGCCACACUGGGACUGAGACACGGCCCAGACUCCUACGGGAGGCAGCAGUAGGGAAUCUUCGGCAAUAGACGAAAGUCUGACCGAGCAACGCCGCGUGAGUGAAGAAGGUUUUCGGAUCGUAAAGCUCUGUUGUAAGAGAAGAACGGGUGUGAGGGUGGAAAGUUCACACUGUGACGGUAUCUUACCAGAAAGGGACGGCUAACUACGUG